AGGAACAUAGUUCAGUGGUAGAGCACAUGACUAGCAUGCAUGAGACCCUGGGCUCAAUCUCUAGUGCUGCCA
rnacentral:tRNA from 1 species